rnacentral:rRNA from 1 species
UGGGGAAUAUUGGACAAUGGGCGCAAGCCUGAUCCAGCCAUACCGCGUGGGUGAAGAAGGCCUUCGGGUUGUAAAGCCCUUUUGUUGGGAAAGAAAUCCAGCCGGCUAAUACCUGGUUGGGAUGACGGUACCCAAAGAAUAAGCACCGGCUAACUUCGUGCCAGCAGCCGCGGUAAUACGAAGGGUGCAAGCGUUACUCGGAAUUACUGGGCGUAAAGCGUGCGUAGGUGGUUAUUUAAGUCCGUUGUGAAAGCCCUGGGCUCAACCUGGGAACUGCAGUGGAUACUGGAUGACUAGAAUGUGGUAGAGGGUAGCGGAAUUCCUGGUGUAGCAGUGAAAUGCGUAGAGAUCAGGAGGAACAUCCAUGGCGAAGGCAGCUACCUGGACCAACAUUGACACUGAGGCACGAAAGCGUGGGGAGCAAACA